GAUGAAGAACGCAGCGAAAUGCGAUAAGUAAUGUGAAUUGCAGAAUUCAGUGAAUCAUCGAAUCUUUGAACGCACAUUGCGCCCGCCAGUAUUCUGGCGGGCAUGCCUGUCUGAGCGUCAUUUCAACCCUCAUGCCCCUAGGGCGUGGUGUUGGGGAUCGGCCAAAGCCCGCGAGGGACGGCCGGCCCCUAAAUCUAGUGGCGGACCCGUCGUGGCCUCCUCUGCGAAGUAGUGAUAUUCCGCAUCGGAGAGCGACGAGCCCCUGCCGUUAAACCCCCAACUUUCCAAGGUUGACCUCAGAUCAGGUAGGAGUACCCGCUGAACUUAAGCAUAUCAAUAAGCGGAGGA
rnacentral:misc_RNA from 1 species